GAGGGAGACGCGCAGACACACUCACAGGGCGCCAGCGAGUCAAAGGAAGGAAGCGGCUGCAAGGGACCCGCAGCGUGUCCUGUCUCUCUCUCUCUCACCAUUCAUCGUCUGCUCUUCUCUGCCCUCCAUAAACUGAUCCCUCGCACCGGAGACACAACUGCAGCAGGAGAAAAACCAGGCAGAGGAGGUUGCAGCCCAGCAGCUGCCCUCCUUCCUAGGCUUCAGCGUCUCUUCCCAAAGCCUCUCCUCUCCUCCCUCGGGGCCAGGCGCAGGCCCCGAAGUCUAGUGGGCCCAGAGAACAAAGCCGAGAGGAGUGUGUCUAUGUGUCUCCUUCUUCCCCCUGCUGACGUCCGCAGGAUCCUAAUGCCCGCCUCUUCUUCCUCUUCGUUCUCUGGGCCCGCUCGCAGGCCGAGUGGAGCCAAGUGGAGCCCGGGGUCCACUUACAUGCUGCGGAGGGAGGAGACGAGGCUUUGGGAAGAGACGCUGAGGCCUAGGAAGGAGGGCAGCUGCUAGGCUGCAACCUCCUCUGCCUGGUUUCUCUCCUGCUGCAGUUGUGUCUCCGGUGCGAGGGAUCAGUUUAUGGAGGGCAGAGAAGAGCAAGCAAAGAAUGGUGAGAGAGAGAGACAGGACGCGCUGCGGGUCCCUUGCAGCCGCUUCCUUCCUUUGACUCGCUGGCGCCCUAGCAAAUUGUGGAUUUGAAUUUUCUCUGAAGCAUGUCAAAGUAUGCCACAGACCACUCACAGACAACUCUACUAGUGAGAAUUUUAUCCCCAUACUGAGUGCACAAGCCGAGAUGAAUUUGUGUAUCCAGCACAUCUUCUGCCCACAAAAAUCAUGUGACAGAACACUCUUCUUCAUUGGUGGAAUACGUUUCGCAGCCAUUUUCACCACAGCACAAUAUUGGUUGUUUGGACGCCCAAGGAAACCUAAAUAAAUUAGGGGCUUUUGGCCAUUGUUCUUUGCGUGUGGCAAGGUUUUUGUUGGGCGCCAUUGGGUUUCUUGUACAUGACUCUGAAGACUGGCUGGGGACUUUGCAACCGAUGUAAGUUAAUCCGGGUUAUUCUACGACAGAGGGCUGGAACUGUGUGGGUUUUCUCUUGGACUGCAUUGUUAUUACUAUUUUGCAUUAGCUGCUGCUCGUCGUUUUGGCUCUUUGUGUUAUCCUGCGACGUGGACCUUGCUGUGACGACUUCACCCUUUGGACUUUGGACCGGCUUGGCAUCAUUCCCGUGUUCGUGGCUGACUUCCGUUGCUGACCGCUGGCUUCACCUUCGACUCCGACGCUGUUCUCCAAUGCUGACUCCAGACCGGUUUGACUUCACUACGAUGUUUCGUUCCCUUGACAUCUGGCUUGGCUUUCAACUCCGCAGCGGCUUGUCGCUAUUGCCUCUGUUUUCCAGCUUUGUUUGCCUGCACCGCUCUUGGUGAAGAACUUUAGCCCGGUUUGGGCUUUCUCUUUAGUUUUGGGCUUUUUCUGUACUUUUGGGUUUUGGGGAGGUUUUGAGCCUUUGGGAUUUCUUGCCCUUGUUUGUUUUGCCAUUUUGACUCUGCAUUGCAAUUCUGAGCUGUUUUCAAGCACUUUGGUUUUAAUCCGAAUUAUAUCUCCGGAUAAUCCGGAUUAUAUUCCGGUUUGCGUUUUUGAGGUUUCUUUGCUCUGAACUGUUUAAUCACACUGAAGUUAAAGUGUUGUGAGCUCUCUGGACUUUGUGCUGAGCUUUUUUGAGUUAUUUUUGAAUAAACUAUAUUUAUCUAA